GCUGGGUCUGCCAUGCCUCGGACCGAGGCACCAGCACCAGAUGAAUGAUGUGAUAGCCCUUGCCUCUCAUAUGACUCCUCAUUUCCCAUGAUGAUGAUUUUAAUGUAGCUAAAAAGAGUGACUACAGAAGGAGAUAAAGCGAAUCCCUCAUCUUUUGUGAGUCUUAAAACAGAAGUAGUAAGGAGGAAUUCUGGACCAGGCAGGCACUUCCUGGACGUUGAGGACCAAUGCAGUUGCUCGUAUAGAUGGUCUGAAUCCCUGGCUUUUAAUGAGAGAUUGAUCAAACUUUAAGAUGCAAGGGGAAGAACGGUUUUGGAUGGUUGGUUCUUAAUCAGAUGCAAAAUGCAGUUGAACUUUAUUGCACCAGAUAAGCAAAACAACACAUAUCGAAGAUUUGUGAAGAGACAGG
rnacentral:lncRNA from 1 species